rnacentral:pre_miRNA from 1 species
CAAAUACUCCCUCCGUCCGGAAAUACUUGUCAUCAAAAUGGAUAAAAGGAAAUGUAUCUAGACGUAUUUUAGUUUCAGAUACAUCUUUUUAUCCAUUUUGAUGACAAGUAUUUUCAGACGAAGGGAGUAUUUA